rnacentral:rRNA from 1 species
AAUGUUAAGAUAGCCAUGCACGUCUAGUACAAACUAAAUGAUGGUGAAACUGCAAAUGGCUCAUUACAACGGUUAUGAUGUACCCGGGAGUUCCGAUGGAUAUUUCCAGUAACACUAGAACUAAUACAUGUCCCUGCGUUUAUUAGUUUCGCACAGUCCGUCGCUGAGUCAUGGUAAACAGUUGAUCGACUCGACGUCCCGGAACAGUUUCCGCCCCAUCAGCUUCGAUGGUUGGGUAUUGGCCUACCAUUGCAACAACGGGUAACGAGGAAUUAGGGUUUGAUUUCGGAGAGGGAGCCUGAGAAACGGCUACCACAUCUACGGAUGGCAGCAGGCGCGCAAAUUACCCAAUGCAGACACUGUGAGGUAGUGACGAGAAAUAAUAAAGCGGGACUUCUGUUUCGCUAUUAUAAUGAGGAAUAACCAAAGGUCAUUCCGAUUAGCAACUGAUGGGAAAGUCUGGUGCCAGCAGCCGCGGUAAUACCAGCGUCAGUAGCAUA